GAGAUGAUCAGGAAACGGAGGGAGAUGUUCAAGAAAGUCUGACUACAGGAGAAACCAAGACCACUCUUACUGACGACCACUGAAAUCAACACUUCUUGUUUGCUUGAGCCCGCAUCAGCAUUUUAACUUUUCCUAAUGCAAACAUCCAUGUACAUAACCAGGUAAAGCUUGUAUCACUGUGAUUUAAAAGAAACUGUAAGCGCUUUGUUCACCCUUAAUCUACCAAGUAAACAAGCUCCAAUCAAGUUUAAAAUGUCAACAAAGACUGAUAUAUCGCUGACAACAGGAGUAAAAGGGGUCCAGGUCAGGCUCUGUUGUCUUAAAGUAACCACAUUGGGAACCGUUCCGACACCACGGAGUCUCUGAUGUUGAUUUAUGAAGGACAAAAGUGUAUAAUGUGAUGAUUUAGCCCACGCAAUAACUGUAGCUUUUGGCAGCUUAUCAGCCUCCUUCUUACUCCCUCUUCACAUUCCAUGUCUUUAGUGAAGGGUUAGAAUCAUGAAAUACUUUUAAUCCGUGUGUGUGUGUGUGUGUGUGUGUGUGUGUGUGUGUGUGUGUUUUAAGGAAAUGCAACUAUUUCCUGCCAACGUUUCUUUUAUUCAUAUAUGUUGUGCUAGGAGGGGUUAGAGGCAUAAAAACAGGCGUGCUUGCUGUUGCCAUGGUGCUUUCAGACACUCUCUGCCAGUCUGCGCAGGCGC